GUGCUUGCACUCAAUUGGAAAGAGGAGUGGCGGACGGGUGAGUAACACGUGGGUAACCUACCCAUCAGAGGGGGAUAACACUUGGAAACAGGUGCUAAUACCGCAUAACAGUUUAUGCCGCAUGGCAUAAGAGUGAAAGGCGCUUUCGGGUGUCGCUGAUGGAUGGACCCGCGGUGCAUUAGCUAGUUGGUGAGGUAACGGCUCACCAAGGCCACGAUGCAUAGCCGACCUGAGAGGGUGAUCGGCCACACUGGGAUUGAGACACGGCCCAGACUCCUACGGGAGGCAGCAGUAGGGAAUCUUCGGCAAUGGACGAAAGUCUGACCGAGCAACGCCGCGUGAGUGAAGAAGGUUUUCGGAUCGUAAAACUCUGUUGUUAGAGAAGAACAAGGACGUUAGUAACUGAACGU
rnacentral:rRNA from 1 species